rnacentral:rRNA from 1 species
GACGGAGGGUGCUAGCGUUGUUCGGAAUCACUGGGCGUAAAGGGCGCGUAGGCGGCCCAUGCCGUCGGCUCGUGAAAGCCCGGGGCUCAACCCCGGAGGUGCGGCCGAGACCCAUGGGCUGGAGGCCGGAAGAGGAGGGUGGAAUACCCAGUGUAGAGGUGAAAUUCGUAGAGAUUGGGUGGAACACCGGUGGCGAAAGCGGCUCUCUGGUCCGGUUCUGACGCUGAGGCGCGAAAGAGUGGGGAGCAAACAGG